UUUUUUUUUUUUUUUUUUUUUUAACACCUUAUUGUUUUUCAACUCCUGCUUUUAGGACUGUGUUAACUUCCUACUAUGGGUUGAUUUCAUAGCUUAACUCCUUCAAGUUUCUAUAUUUCUAAGAGUUCAGGGAAUAGUCACCAUUAUCCCAAGUAGUGACAUUCAUAUCAUUGAUGGUUCAUGUUAUAAUUUUUAUUUCAAUCAGCAAUUCUUAUUUGUGUAAAUCACAGAUGUUGUGCUGGUCUCUCCUUAAAUGUCUUAUAAACAUAUUAAGGAGAAAGUCACAGGAAGUUCUAACUUGUCCUGCCUUCCCUCCCACCAUCUCCUCACUCCUAGCCUUGUACCAGCAAUACUCAACUUCUUACCCUUCAAUGCCCUCCUAUCCAAUACUGAAAUGGAUGUUCCUACUUCUUUUCCCCACUUACUUACAAAUAUUUAUUGAGAGGGGAUCCCUGGGUGGCACAGCAGUUUGGCACCUGCCUUUGGCCCAGGGCGCGAUCCUGGAGACCCGGGAUCGAAUCCCACAUUGGGCUCUCGAUGCAUGGAGCCUGCUUCUCCCUCUGCCUGUGUCUCUGCCUCUCUCUCUGUGUGUGUGUGUGACUAUCAUAAAUAAAUUUAAAAAAAAACCAAAUAUUUAUUGAGUACCUGCUAUAUUGAUAGGUACAGUUUAAGGUAUAAGAAAUACAGAAAUGAACAAAAUAAAAACACCUUUUCAGUCUAGUGGAGAGAAAACUGAUAACAUACAAACAAAUGUAUGUCAUAUGUUUAUUUAAAUGUCACAAGAAAGCAAUAUAAAUUAUUCCAUGCUAUUAAAAGAAUCCUAUGCAAAACCAUUUAUACUAAUACCAUUUAUAUUAAUUUCUAGAACAUGGAAAACUAAAAUCUAUAGUGGAAAAAAAUCAUAACACUGAUUAUCUCUCUAAAAACAGGGCCAGGAAUUGACUGAAAAAGGCAUUUGAAAGAACUUUCUUGGUGAUAGUGAUAUUCUAUAUCUUGAUAAGGGUUUGGGUUAACUGAUACAUGUGUCUGUCAAAAUUCAUCAAAAUUGUA
rnacentral:lncRNA from 1 species